UAGGGAAUCUUCGGCAAUGGACGGAAGUCUGACCGAGCAACGCCGCGUGAGUGAAGAAGGUUUUCGGAUCGUAAAGGUCUGUUGUUAGAGAAGAACGUUGGUAGGAGUGGAAAAUCUACCAAGUGACGGUAACUAACCAGAAAGGGACGGCUAACUACGUGCCAGCAGCCGCGGUAAUACGUAGGUCCCGAGCGUUGUCCGGAUUUAUUGGGCGUAAAGCGAGCGCAGGCGGUUCUUUAAGUCUGAAGUUAAAGGCAGUGGCUUAACCAUUGUACGCUUUGGAAACUGGAGGACUUGAGUGCAGAAGGGGAGAGUGUAAUUCCAUGUGUAGCGGUGAACUGCGUAGCUAUAUGGAGGAACACCGGUGGCGAAAGCGGCUCUCUGGUCUGUAACUGACGCUGAGGCUCGAAAGCGUGGGGAGCAAACAGG
rnacentral:rRNA from 1 species